CGGGAGGCAGCAGUGGGGAAUAUUGCACAAUGGGCGAAAGCCUGAUGCAGCAACGCCGCGUGAGGGAUGACGGCCUUCGGGUUGUAAACCUCUUUUAGUAGGGAAGAAGCGAAAGUGACGGUACCUGCAGAAAAAGCACCGGCUAACUACGUGCCAGCAGCCGCGGUAAUACGUAGGGUGCAAGCGUUGUCCGGAAUUAUUGGGCGUAAAGAGCUCGUAGGCGGUUUGUCGCGUCUGCUGUGAAAUCCCGAGGCUCAACCUCGGGSUUGCAGUGGGUACGGGCAGACUAGAGUGCGGUAGGRGAGAUUGGAAUUCCUGGUGUAGCGGUGGAAUGCGCAGAUAUCARGAGGAACASCGAUGGCGAAGGCAGAUCUCUGGGCCGUAACUGACGCUGAGGAGCGAAAGCGUGGGGAGCGAACAGGAUUAGAUACCCUGGUAGUCCACGCCGUAAACGUUGGGCGCUAGAUGUAGGGACCUUUCCACGGUUUCUGUGUCGUAGCUAACGCAUUAAGCGCCCCGCCUGGGGAGUACGGCCGCAAGGCUAAAACUCAAA
rnacentral:rRNA from 1 species